UACGAAGGGGGCUAGCGUUGCUCGGAAUCACUGGGCGUAAAGGGUGCGUAGGCGGUUUUUUAAGUCAGGGGUGAAAUCCUGGAGCUCAACUCCAGAACUGCCUUUGAUACUGAAGAUCUUGAGUCCGGGAGAGGUGAGUGGAACUGCGAGUGUAGAGGUGAAAUUCGUAGAUAUUCGCAAGAACACCAGUGGCGAAGGCGGCUCACUGGCCCGGUACUGACGCUGAGGCACGAAGGUCAGGGGAGCAAACGGG
rnacentral:rRNA from 1 species